UUUAUUGGAGAGUUUGAUCCUGGCUCAGGAUGAACGCUGGCGGCGUGCCUAAUACAUGCAAGUCGAGCGAAUGGAUUAAGAGCUUGCUCUUAUGAAGUUAGCGGCGGACGGGUGAGUAACACGUGGGUAACCUGCCCAUAAGACUGGGAUAACUCCGGGAAAUCGGGGCUAAUACCGGAUAACAUUUUGAACCGCAUGGUUCGAAAUUGAAAGGCGGCUUCGGCUGUCACUUAUGGAUGGACCCGCGUCGCAUUAGCUAGUUGGUGAGGUAACGGCUCACCAAGGCAACGAUGCGUAGCCGACCUGAGAGGGUGAUCGGCCACACUGGGACUGAGACACGGCCCAGACUCCUACGGGAGGCAGCAGUAGGGAAUCUUCCGCAAUGGACGAAA
rnacentral:rRNA from 1 species